rnacentral:lncRNA from 1 species
GAAACUUAUUUUUCUGCAAAUUUUCAUACUAAUCCCCAGGAAAAUCCCUAUAUAAUUCACACUUUUCUUGUAGUGUUGUAAAUCUUUUCAGUUACUAAUGAUAUCUCAAUUUUUCAAAUGAACUCUCUCCUUAAGGACUAAAAUAGUUAUUAUCCCUUCUUUGUUUUAUAAUAAUUUAACAAUGGAAAAAACUUUUUAAAAAGAGUUUAAUUGUCUUUAACUUGCCCUCAUAAUAAGUUAUGAACUCAUAGGCUAAUUUCUUUUGUGAUCACACAAUCAACAUGAUGUUGUAGGUGAAAUGAUAACUGUUGAUUGAUUUUUUUACUAUAAACUAGAGUUGAACAACUUUUCAAAAUAAUUAUCAUUAGUUGAGUGACCUUAAUGUUACAAAACAGAGUUGAAUGACUUUUCUAUUAUAAAAUAAAAUUGAGUAACUUUUUGAGAAAAUUAUCAUUAGUUGAGUGACCUUUGUCUUACAAAAUAAAUUUCAGUGAGUUUGUGAGAUAAAAAAUUAUUACUUGAGAGAUCCUACCAAAAAUUAACUCUAUAUUAUAUAAAUAGAUACUAGGGCUCAAAUUAGGGGGGAAAAGUUUAUCAAAAUUGAGAUGUAUACUAAUACUCAAGAUUGUAAGAGUACCUCCCCUGCCAUGGCUGCCACCGGAGCUUCGACCGUAGAAUGGCCAACAAGAUGUAAAUUCCUUUUUCCGAUUGUAACCUCUACUUGUUUUUUUGUUUUCUUUUUUCAAUGAUUAUACACUACUACUACUACUUCAUAUUCGUAGAAUUGCAGGGGAUCUCCCAUUGGGAGUCUCAGGUUUGAAAUCUUCUUAUAUGCUUUCUCAUUAGGGAUUGUCUAGUAUGGUUUAUCUCUCCUAUAUGGUUUGUGGGCUAGUUUUACUCUGUGAACCCUAAGAAGAGUAGUGAUUGUGGGUUCCCUUGUCAUAAAUAAACAAGAAAAGGAAAUGAUGAUAGGUAGAGGGUGGACCCAUUAUUUGAUGAGUUUCUAACUUUGCGCCAUUGACCUCAGGGAUUUCUUGGCUAUAAAAAGGGUAAAAAAUAGUGAACAACAACAAUGACACAUAUGCUUUUAUUUUAUUGGACCACUAUCAAUUCUUUAUUCAUCGAAAGAGUACAACAACAUACUUAGUGGUCAUUUCGUUGGGAGGGAUAAGUUAUCUCACAUGUAUAUGGGAUAACUUAUCCCAUCACUAUAGUAUGGUGGGAUAAAUAAUCUCAUGACUACCUAAUACCUCCAACCAAAUGCAGGAUAAAAUAAUCCUACAUUUUAUCUAGGAUUAUCAUACUCUAUACCUCUCACCAAAUGACUCCUUAGUGUAAUCCUACUAGUGGUGUCUGGGGAGGGGCGUAGCCACAUACAAUGAGAGGUAGCUAGUUACCCUAUGUUGAAGAAUUAUACUGCAGAUGUAAAAAAUUAUACGAAGUAUAUAAGUUACAAAUUAUUUUUCGGGCGGAUAUGUUAAUUUUCGGCACCGAGGGUAGGAUGUAUGCCGUCCUUACCCUACCUUUGUGGGGUUGAUAAACCCUUGGCUAAAAAAAUGGUAUAGAUUUGUUAAAUUAAUUGUAAUUACAAUAUUAUCCAACAUAGAGUGCACUUAUGAAUGGUAAUCAAAAAAUUUAUGUUGGAGGGAGUUAAACUGUUUUAGUUAAGUACAUUUCAAGGGAAGUUAAAAUGUAUUAACAUACCUGAAAUAUUAAACACUCCCAAAAUUUGCCUGUAAUUUUGAUGAUGGAAGCAAUCAAGUUCUUUAAUAUUUGUGCUAUACUUAAUUUUGUUUUGUUUGUAGCACCAUUAGAUUCUACAGUUCAAACGGGAAAUGCAAAUGGAGGUGACUGGCAGGAAAAGGUUUACGAAAAGGUAUUGUUUGCAAUAGUAUUUUUUUCUACACAAGAUUUUGAAAACUGUGGAUAUUGAUACACUGGCUGGUUAUAACAUUAUAAGAAAUAGCUGAAUAUUUUGACAUAUUUCCUAUGAUUAUAGAGUAACAAAGGAGGUUUAUCAUACCAAGUGUUUAGUUAAAUUCAUGAUCGUACCCCUCCCCGCAAGGUGUUAGAAACUGGUAUACUGUCAGUUGAAGAGUACUACUGCAGCUACAUCUCAAUCCCAAGCAAGUUGAGGUUGCCUAUAUGAAUCCUCAUUGUAGAUGAUACCUUAUUUAAGCUUGUCUUGGUUCAAUAUUGUCAACAACAAAAAAAUAGUUUCAGAAGCAAUGGAAUAAUUGAGAAGUGAAGUAUUAUUUGAUAAUUAACUGAUAAUGGAAAAAUAGUUGAUGAAUGUUGUGAUCGUAUUAUCUAAUAUUUAAUGAGGUAAUAUGUAUAUAAGUUCGUGUCAUAGUCUUCAUGGCAUGUUACCAACUUGCUUUAUUUCCUGGCAACUAAAAUCUUUAAUUGCUACUUUGAGAGAUAAACCUAUUGGUGCAAGAAGUAUAUACCCGAAUAUAUGGCUAUAAAAAGAUGCUCUCUGUGAAAAGAUAUUUGUUCAUCUGUAUUCGUUGGCAUACUUUUUCUGUUCUUUAAUUUUAUUUUAUUUUAUAAUAGAGAAUUCAAUGCCUCUAUCUUCGAAACUUGGUGGGUAACAGGUCUGUCCCUCUAUCCUUCUCUACUUACAUCCCCGACUUGGCUUACUAGCUAGGUGGUAAAAGUUGGAAUACUUUGACUUCACUAAGAAUAAACAUAUAACACUAACAUGCUCUGUAGACUCCAUUCCGUCGUUUUUCACUUGUGAAGCCAACUACUUAGUUAUUAUUUCAUUGAUGGUAAAGGUGAAAAGUGGGGGGAAAAUGAUGAUUGGCAUUAAACUGUAUUAUAUCUCCCAACCUAACUUUUAAAAAGUAUAGUCUAAUUACAAAAGUUUGUAUUCUUGAUGUGAGCACCAAGAAGCUAAAGGAAGCAAAGCUCAGUUACUUAAUUUAAUAACAUUUACAUGUUAAUCAGUUGUAGUAUUCCUCUUCUACUUCACUUUAAACCUUUUUAUCUGGAAGGUUCUUUUGUGAGAAUUUUAUAGUUUGUUCUCUACUGCAUCGUAAGUUGAUCUAAUUAUCACCUUACCACAUGGGAAUGUGUUCUUGACAUUUCUGCAGUUGACUUAAUGAAAAUUUGUAAUGCAGAUCAAGUCUAUGAAGGAAAUGUAUGUUCAAAAGCUCUAUCGUCUAUACCAGAAAAUUGCUUAUGAACUGCAACUGGUAUGCCGUCACUAUCCCUCUUAAGUGCUUCAUAAUAGUGCAAAAUUUUGGUAGACUCCCUAGCAAGUUUUGUCAGCAUGCACCAAUGUGUAAUGCAUUUUGUAGUCUAUUGGUUAUUGGAAACUCCUCUAAUCUCUUUGCAUGUUUCUCACACCUAUUAUAGCUCCUUCUUACAUAUAUUCUCUGGCAUUUAUAUUUGAUAAAAACAACUUGAUUUGCCGAACGUAAUCCUAGAAUAUUAUCUAACUGGGAAAUGAUGCAGAUAGCUCAAAACUCUAAAUGCACAUUUUUGCUUCUUUGGUUGAUUUUCUGUUAUCGUGAGAAACAGUAUUCUCAUAGUGGGAAUAUGUUAUAGUGUAGUUAACUCCCUUUCAUUUCUAGCAUCAGCAUCAUUUGUUUGUGUUGAAGCAUUGUGAAUGAUUGUGAAAUCGAGGUGGUGGUGGACACCAUAAAGGGAGUUAUUUACACAUAUCUAGGUAGACAUUGCAGUGUAGAUGUCAUUUUAUGUUAGUUUGUUUUCCUUUUGGCAAAGGAAUCAAGGCUUCCCAAGCUCAUCGGGCAAGGGCUUGAUUUAUCUGAAUUUAAAGAGCACUUGAGUCAACAUUCUGCUGAAUUUCGGGAACCUUGCGAGCUAUGUUAUUUGUCUUUUUAUGCCAUUUCUUGAAUUUUCCUCCAUUUUUCUUUGCCGUGGGAGGUACUUGAAGCAUGUAUUUCAAAAGUUUGCAAAGGGUAAGAAACAGGACUGUGACUAAACUGAUUUUUGUUUCCGAUUUGAUGCAGGACUCUCUUCAUCAGCGUCGUACAAAUGAGCAAAUUGAAAAGCUCAAGCUGUACAAGAUAGCAUUGGAACGCAUUUUGUGUUUCUUGGGGCUUAGCAAGCAUGAUAUUCAACCUGCUCACAAGGAGAAACUGCUUUCGGUUGAGAAGCUCAUAAAUUUCUUUUUUAGUCCCUCUCAGCAGCGAAAGCCUACUUCUUCUCCAGUGCAGGAGCGACUUCCUCAGUCUUCCAUGCUGCUUCAGCAACCACAAUCACUUGAUGGUCAAACUAAUCCAUCGAUGCAACCCGUACACGGCCCGUGGAAGGUAAUGUGACAAAACAAUUUGACCAACUUGCAACAUAUUUGUUUGGAUAAUUCACUACUACUUCUACUUCAUAUUCGUAGAAUUGCAGGGGGAUUUCCCAUUGGGGGUCUCGGGUUUAAGAUGUUCAUGUAUGCUUUCUCAAUUGGGCUCGUCGCACAAGGAUUGUUUAGUGAGGGUUUACCUCUCCUAUGUGGUUUGUUGACGAGGUUUACUUUGUGUGAACCCUAAGGCUAGCGAAUGCGGAUUCCCUGGUCAUCAAAAAGGUUUAAAAAAUGAUGAAGCCCACAAGGUCUUGGUCUAGUGGUAAGAGUGAAUUUGUGACGUAUGGGUUAGAGGGGUGUCACCGGUUCAAACCUGUUAUAGUCUAAAACCGUUAUUUAAGUGAGUGGAGAAGGGUAGAGCGUGGACCCAUUAUCAGUCGAUUUUCUAACUCUGCCAUUCGCCUCGGGGGUUUUCGGCUAUAAAAAAGGGUAAAAAAUAAUGAACAACAACAUACUUGGUAUAAUCAUACUGGUGGGGUUUGGGGAGGGAAAUAUGUUUGCAUACCUUACCCUACCUUUGUGGGGGUAGAUAGACCGCUCAAAAGAAGUGUAUUAAUUCGUAAAAUUAAUUGUAAUUACAAUAUUAUCCAAACACAAAGUGAACUUAUGAGUGGCAAUCAAAAUUUUGUGUUGGAGGUUUGUACUUUUUAAUAGUAUAGAUUAAAAGAUUGAAAUAUUAAUAUAUAACCAAAUACCCAAUCAAUACCCUAGUGUAAAGUGGGAAACUUAGCUUUCUUAGACAAGUACAUUUGGCGGGAAGUUAAAAUGUAUUAAUAUACCUGAAAUGUCUAGCACUACCCCAAAAUUUGCCUGAAAUUUUUAUGAUGCAAGCAACCAACUUCUGUAAUAUUUGUGUUAUGCUCAAUUUUUGUUUUAUUUGUAGCACUUUUCGAUUCUACAAUUCCGACGGGAAAUGCAAAUGGGGUUGAUUGGCACUUGGCAGGAAGAGGUUUACCAGAAGGUAUGUUCGUAACGGUAUUUUAGUUGGACAAGAUUUUGGAAACUGUGGAAUUACAUAAACUGGCUGUUUAUAACAUUAUAAGAAAUAGUUGUAUGUUUUGAAAUAUUUCCUAUGAUUAUAGAGUAAUAGAAGAGGUUUACCAUACCAACUGUUCAGCUAAAUUCAUGGUCGUACCCCUCCCCCGCAAGGUGCUUUAUAUAUUCCAUGUUUUAGAAAAAACAGAAAUUGAGCAUGUUACCUGAUAACUUGUUAGAAACUGGUAUAUUCUCAAUUUAGAAGCACUACUACAACUACAAUCCUAAGCAAGUUGAGGUCGAUUAUAUGAAUCCUCACCGUCAAUGAUGCACUGUUUGUGCUUGUCUUCAUCCAAUAUUGUUAACGACAAAAAAUUAGUUUCACAAGCACUGGCAUAAUUGAGAAGUCAAGUACUCUUUGAUAAAUUAAUUGAUUAUAGAAAACUAGUUGUUGAAUACUAAGAUCAUAUCGUCUUAAUUCAAGAGGUAAUAUGUCAAUAAGUUUGGAUCAAAGUCGUCUUAGUAUGUCACCAAUUUGUGUUACUAGCUAGGAAUAAGUUGGAAUACUUUGAUUUCUCCAAGAAUGAACAUGUAACACUAACAUGCUUUGUAUACUCCAUUCCUGUCAUUUUUCACUUGUGAAGGGUGUAAAGUUCAAAAAAUUUAGAAAAUGAUGAUUUCCAUUAAACCAUAUUAUAUUCUCCAAAUCCAAUGUUACUGUUAGAAUAGGAAUAGGUUUAUACAAUCCUAUUAGAAUAGGAAUAGAAAUAGAAAUAGGAAUAGUAAAUAGUAUCCUACUUGGUAAAGGAUUGUAUUCUAGUAUCUAUAAAUAGGGUCUCAAUGUAAUAAUGUAAACAACAACAAUUUAAUAAUAUUCUUUUCUUAUAUUUCUCACAUGGUAUCAGAUCCUCUAAGAUCUUAGUAGAAAAUCAAUGAGCUUCCGCUGCCGGCGGGUGGCACCCAUAUAUGCCGCCCGUCUGACCAAUGAUUAUGUUAGCAAAAGUUGGUCACCGUAUAUCUUUCUGGUGACUAUUUUCUCAUAUCUAAUUUGUGUAGCACCGUGCCAUCAUUCCGGUGACUACUUUCUUAUAUUUUAUUUGUGUAGCACUGUGCCAUCAUUCCAGUGACUACUUUUUCAUAUAUAAUUUGUGUAGCACUGUGACAUUCUUCCGGUGACUUACCUUUUUUUGCAUAUCUGUUUUGUGUAACACCGUGCAUCUCUCCCGGACUACUUUUCAUAUUUAAUUUGUGUAGUACCGUGGAUUUUUUUCCGACCUAUUUUCUCAGAGUUGCAUAGCAUCAUGUGUCUUUUCAGUGACUCCUCAGAUUUGAUUUGCAUAGUUCCAUUCGUCUUUUCGGUGACUCCUCAAAUCUAAUUUGCGUAGGGUUGUGCCAUCAUUUCAACCCUAUUCGUAUAAUUUUUCUUUUUCAGUUGGGUCGUGCCAUCAUUUCGACCCUACCCCUAUUAUUUCUCUUUUCUAUGGGAUCGUUCCAUCAAUUCGAACUAUCCUAUCCAUAUAAUUUAUUUUUAAAUUGUGACCUCUUUCAGUCAUCAAAUCUAAUACUGCGGCGUAUGAGCAUUUUUCGGCCAAUUUUUUCGGUGACUUUCUUGUUUAAUAUUGACUCGUCUAUUGAUUCCAACAUGAUCGAUACAUUUUAUACUAGAUUUUGAGCACUUCCGGCGACCGUUGCAUUGUGAAGAAGUCUAUAUGGAGCAACUACCUGAUUAUGUUACUCAAGGAGAGUUUAGUAGUCUUGUAUGUCAAUUGUGUUAGUCACUCUAUGGUCUAAAACAGUCUUUGCAAGUUUGGUUUAGGAAGUUCAAACCUGUAAUUAUAUCACUCUGUGUUUUAUCGGCAUUAUGCAUCAAAUUCAGUAUCUCAUGAGAAGACCAAGCACAUUGAGAUUGAUUGUCAAUUUUGUGAAGUCGAGUGAUCAACUUGCAAAUAUCUCACCAAGCCCCUCAUCGGUCCUCAUGUUAAUUACAUUUGUAACAAGCUAGGUACAUGAAUUGUAUGCACUAGCUUGAGGGGGAGUGUUAGAAUAGGAAUAGGUUUAUACAAUCCUAUUAGAAUAGGAAUAGUAAAUAGUAUCCUACUUGGUAAAGGAUUGUAUUCUAGUGUCUAUAAAUAGGGUCUCAAUGUAAUAAUGUAAACAACAACAAUUUAAUAAUAUUCUUUUCUUAUAUUUCUCACAAAGUGGUAUGGGGACCACUUUCUGAGGUAUCUCCGCUUCUUUCUCUGUUGCAUUCUCAGACUCUUCUCUAACCUCUAUCACAUCAUCUUCUUUUCUAAUCUCAACUUCCACCAUAGACGGCCUAGGUGGAUCUAUGGUUUGCUUACCCCCUCGAGUAGUAAUUGCCAUACAAAGCAUGUUGUAACACUAACAUGCUUUGUAUACUCCAUUCCUGUCAUUUUUCACUUGUGAAGGGUGUAAAGUUCAAAAAAUUUAGAAAAUGAUGAUUUCCAUUAAACCGUAUUAUAUUCUCCAAAUCCAACGUUACAAAAGUAUAUUCUAAUUCCUCCUGGUUGGCUGGUCUAUGAUCACAUUAUGGAAGCAAACCUCAGUCGCUUAUUUUACCAUCUACAUGUUAAUCAGUUGUAGUCUUCCUCUUUAACUUUACUUUUAACCUUCUUAUCUGGAAGGUUCUUUUGUGAGGAUCUCUAGUUUGUUCUCUACUGUAUCGUAAGUUGAUCUAAUUAUCACCUAACCACAUGGGAAUGUGUUCUUGACAUUUCUGCAGUUGACUUAAUGAAAAUUUGUAAUGCAGAUCAAGUCUAUGAAGGAAAUGUAUUAUUCAAAGCUCUAUCAUCUAUACCAGAAAAUUGCUUAUGAACUGCAACAGGUAUGUCAUCAACAUCCCUCUAAGUGCUUAUUAAUAGUUCAAAAUUUUGGUAGACU